GUUAGGAAUCUUCCACAAUGGGGGCAACCCUGAUGGAGCAACACCGCGUGCUGGAUGAAGGCCUUCGGGUCGUAAACAGCUUUUGUAUACGAAGAAUAUGACGGUAAUAUACGAAUAAGGGUCGGCUAACUACGUGCCAGCAGCCGCGGUCAUACGUAGGACCCAAGCGUUAUCCGGAGUGACUGGGCGUAAAGAGUUGCGUAGGCGGCUUAUUAAGCGAGUAGUGAAAUCUGGUGGCUCAACCAUCAACACAUUGCUCGAACUGAUAGGCUUGAGAAUGGUAGAGGUAGUUGGAAUUUCUUGUGUAGGAGUGAAAUCCGUAGAUAUAAGAAGGAACACCAAUGGCGUAGGCAGACUACUGGACCAUUUCUGACGCUGAGGCACGAAAGCGUGGGGAGCGAACCGGAUUAGAUACCCCAGUAGUCC
rnacentral:rRNA from 1 species